rnacentral:rRNA from 1 species
CCCUAUGGGGUGCAGCAGGCGCGAAACCUCCACAAUGCACGCAAGUGCGAUGGGGCUACCUCGAGUGCCGUCUGAAGAAGGCGGCUUUUCCACGGUGUAAUGAGCCGUGGGAAUAAGAGGGGGGCAAGACUGGUGUCAGCCGCCGCGGUAACACCAGCUCCUCGAGUGGUAGGGACGUUUAUUUGGCCUAAAGCGUCCGUAGCCGGCUCGAUAAGUCCUUCGUUAAAUCCGGCGUCCCAAGCGCCGGGCUGCGAGGGAGACUGUCAAGCUAGAGGGUGGGCGAAGUCAGCGGUAUUUCUGGGGUAGGGGCGAAAUCCUUUGAUCCCAGGAGGACCACCAGUGGCGAAGGCUGCUGACUAGUACACGCCUGACGGUCAGGGACGAAAGCUGGGGGAGCGAAUCGGAUUAGAUACCCGAGUAGUCCCAGCCGUAAACGAUGCAGGCUAGGUGUUGGAGCGGCCACGAGCCGCUUCAGUGCCACAGGGAAGCCAUUAAGCCUGCCGCCUGGGGAGUACGGCCGCAAGGCUGAAACUUAAAGGAAUUUGGCGGGGGAGCACCACCAGGCGUGAAGCCUGCGGUUUAAUUUGGAGUCAACGCCGGGAACCUUACCGGGAGCGACAGCAGAGUGAAGGCCAGGUUGAAGUCUUGCCCGGACGAGCUGAGAAGAAGUGCAUGGGCCAA